rnacentral:snRNA from 1 species
AUCGUUUCGUAUUAUUAUCGAU